rnacentral:tRNA from 1 species
GAGGAUGUAGCUCAGUUGGAAAGAGCGCCCGUUUCCGAGGCAGGAGCCACAGGUUCAAAUCCUGUCAUCUUCG